rnacentral:rRNA from 1 species
UGAAUGCCUUGGAAAAUGGAGCCGAAGAAGGACGUGAUUACCUGCGAAAAGUCUGGGGGAGCUGGAAGUAAGCUGCGAUCCCGGAAUGUCCGAAUGGGGAAACCUAACAUGAUUUAUCUCAUGUUAUCUAUAAGUGAAUACAUAGCUUAUAAGAAGGGAACCUAGGGAACUGAAACAUCUUAGUACCUAGAGGAAAAGAAAAUAAUAAUGAUUCUGUUAGUAGUGGCGAGCGAACACGGAACAGGCCAAACCGUUCUACGGGGCGGGGUUGUAGGACUUUUGUUAGAGUUACAAAGUUAUUGUAUAGUAGAAGCUAUUGGGAAGUAGCGGCAUAGAGGGUGAUACCCCCGUAUACGAAAUGCAAUAACCUCGAGAAAGUAUCCUGAGUACGGCGAAACACGUGAAAUUUUGUCGGAAUCUGCCAAGACCACUUGGUAAGCCUAAAUACUACCAUUUUACCGAUAGUGAACCAGUACCGUGAGGGAAAGGUGAAAAGCACCCCGAGAGGGGAGUGAAAGAGAUCCUGAAACCAUAUGCUUACAAGAAGGUAGAGCCCGUUAAUGGGUGAUACCGUGCUUUUUGUAGAAAGAGCCGGCGAGUUACUAUUGCAUGCGAGGUUAAGUCGAUAUAGAUGGAGCCGUAGUGAAAGCGAGCCUUAAUAGGGCGUUUAGUAUGCAGUAGUAGACACGAAACCGGGUGAUCUAGCCAUGAGCAGGUUGAAGUUAGGGUAAAACCUAAUGGAGGACCGAACCAGUAUUCGUUGAAAAGACUUUGGAUGACUUGUGGCUAGCGGUGAAAUUCCAAUCGAACCCGGAGAUAGCUAGUUCUCCCCGAUAUAUCUUUAAGGAUAGCGUUAUGUGAAUUGUUGUGGAGGUAGAGCACUGAAUCUAUGAUGGCUGCACCUAGCGGUACUGAUUAGAAUUAAACUCCGAAUGCCAUAACUUGUGCAUAGCAGUCAGAACAUGGGUGAUAAGGUCCAUGCUCGUGAGGGAAACAGCCCAGAUCGUCAGCUAAGGUCCCUAAGUGUAAACUAAGUGUGUAAGGAUGUGGAACUGCACAGACAGCUAGGAUGUUGGCUUAGAAGCAGCCAUCAUUUAAAGAGUGCGUAACAGCUCACUAGUCGAGUGAUUCUGCGCCGAAAAUGUACCGGGGCUUAAGUUUACCACCGAAGCUACGGAUUGUACGCAAGUACAGUGGUAGGGGAGCGUUCCAAGGGUGAUGAAGUCAGACCGUAAGGACUGGUGGAGCGCUUGGAAGUGAUUAUGCCGGCAUGAGUAACGUUUGGAAGUGAGAAUCUUCCAUGCCGUUUGACCAAGGUUUCCUGGGCAAGGUUCGUCCACCCAGGGUUAGUCAGGACCUAAGACGAGGCCGACAGGCGUAGUCGAUGGACAACAGGUUGAUAUUCCUGUACCAGUUAAUUAGUGAUGGAGUGACGGAGAAGGAUAGUAUAUCCCGGGUGCUGGUUGUCCCGGGCUAAGCACAAAGACGGCAACAUUGGCAAAUCCGUGUUGUAUUAACGUUGAAGUGUGAUGGGGAGUGAACGGUUCGCCUAGUAACGAAGUAUAUGACUCCACGCUUCCAAGAAAAGCUUCUAACAUUAAUAAUUAACUGCCUGUACCUAGAACGAACACACGUGGUCAAGGAGAAAAUCCUAAGGCAAGCGAGAUAACUGUAGCUAAGGAACUCUGCAAAAUAACUCCGUAACUUCGGAAGAAGGAGUGCUCAUCUUUGAUGAGCCGCAGUGAAGAGGGAGGGGCAACUGUUUAACAAAAACACAGCUCUCUGCUAAGUCGCAAGACGAUGUAUAGGGGGUGACACCUGCCCAGUGCCGGAAGGUUAAGAGGAGAAGUCAGCGCAAGCGAAGCUUUGAAUUGAAGCCCCGGUGAACGGCGGCCGUAACAAUAACGGUCCUAAGGUAGCGAAAUUCCUUGUCAGGUAAAUUCUGACCCGCACGAAAGGUGUAAUGAUCCCUUCGCUGUCUCGGCUGCAGACUCGGUGAAAUUUUAGUACCGGUGAAGAUGCCGGUUACCCGCAACUAGACGGAA